UACGGAGGAUGCGAGCGUUAUCCGGAUUUAUUAGGUUUAAAGGGUGUGUAGGCGGAAAGCUAAGUCAGUGGUGAAAUCUCUCGGCUCAACCGGGAAACUGCCAUAGAUACUGGUUUUCUUGAGUACAGUUGAAGUAGGCGGAAUGUGUAAUGUAGCGGUGAAAUGCUUAGAUAUUACACAGAACACCGAUUGCGAAGGCAGCUUGCUAAGCUGUUACUGACGCUGAUGCACGAAAGCGUGGGUAGCGAACAGG
rnacentral:rRNA from 1 species